AGAGAACAUCUGAUCACAUAAUCUGGAGAAACAUCAAGAUAAUCGAGACAGAUCUGGGAUUGAUGGAAGGGAAAUCAGCCCUAAAUCUGCUCGAUUAUCUUUUGGUGUGUACCCAGCAGAAAUCAUCUCUGUUCACACAUUUCUCUUCUUCUCUGUUUCUGAAGCAGAAGCAGUUCAUUUCUCACAAAAGAAGAACAAGAUUAAAAAGAUAUUAAAAGACAAACUUCACGUUUCUUGAGAAUCAGUUUAAAAAGCCUGACGUCGUUUUAACUUUGAAUCACUUUUAAAAGCUUGACGUUUGAACACCUGAAAUGUAAAA